GAUGAAGAACGCAGCGAAAUGCGAUAAGUAAUGUGAAUUGCAGAAUUCAGUGAAUCAUCGAAUCUUUGAACGCACAUUGCGCCCGCCAGUAUUCUGGCGGGCAUGCCUGUUCGAGCGUCAUUUCAACCAUCAAGCCCCCGGCUCGUGUUGGGGACCUGCGGCUGCCGCAGGCCCUGCAAAGCAGUGGCGGGCUCGUUGUCACACCGAGCGUAGUAGCAUACAUCUCGCUCUGGGCGUGCUGCGGGUUCCGGCCGUUAAACCACCUUCAUAACCCAAGGUUGACCUCGGAUCAGGUAGGAAGACCCGCUGAACUUAAGCAUAUCAAUAAGCGGAGGA
rnacentral:misc_RNA from 1 species